rnacentral:lncRNA from 1 species
CUCCCGCUCCAAGCCGGCUUUGGCCGCCCGGCAGCAACUGCAGCGGCGAGCCUGGGCGGCCGCUCUGGCAACGCAGUGCCCACACAGGGCGCCGACCCAGCAGCACCGAGCGGGGAGAGAAAGAUGCCCUGGACAUCAUUCCGAACAGCACAAUUCAAGGCUCUUGGGUAACCCCCUCCCACACCAACUCUGAGUUUGUUUAUGGCUUGUUUUGGACAAUAAGACAUUAGCAAAUGAGAUAUAAGUACAGGCUUGAGAAGUACAUGGGCACUGGGGCUUGCUUGCUGGCUGCUCUGUGGAACCUGAGACUACCACGUGAAGAAGUUCGAAGUACUAAAGGAUGAGAGAACAUGUGCAGCAAAGAUGAAGCAUCCCAGCUGAGAUUCUCCUAGACCAAUCAGCUUGCCAACUGCCGCAAAAGCGAAUAAAGCCGUCCAAGAGCAUCCAGCUAUAAGAUUGUUUCUUUGGACUAUAUGCCCAGAGGUGAAUUGAAUGAAUCAAAAGCAUUUUAAUCUGUGACUUAAAUCUGUAUAUAGAGAGGGAGCUUGUCAAGUCUGCAUGUGAUACACAGCACAGAAGAUACCAGACAAGUGAUUAAUAGAUGCAA